rnacentral:rRNA from 1 species
CAGCACCUCAAGUGGUCAGGAUGAUUAUUGGGCCUAAAGCAUCCGUAGCUGGCUCUGUAAGUUUUCGGUUAAAUCUGUACGCUCAACGUACAGGCUGCCGGGAAUACUGCAGAGCUAGGGAGUGGGAGAGGUAGACGGUACUCGGUAGGAAGGGGUAGAAUCCUUUGAUCUAUUGAUGACCACCUGUGGCGAAGGCGGUCUACCAGAACACGUCCGACGGUGAGGGACGAAAGCUGGGGGAGCAAACCGGAUUAGAUACCCGAGUAGUCC